GUUCUGCUGUGAUGAUUUAAGAAUCAAUAUUCACAUGUCAGACUUCAGAGAUUUUUUUUCUAAAUCGAUGAGAAUGACAUUCUUCUUCACUGAGCAGAAA